UUAAUAUAAAAUACGGAUUAGAUUAUCACUAGCAUCAUGUCAAUAAGAAAAUAAGGUCAUAGAGGGUAAUUUAAUGAAAAUCCUACUACAUCACUGUUGGAGAGAGGCAGAUACUAGAGGGGGGAAUAGAAAUGGCAUCUUCAGUGUUGCGGAUGAGAAAUGGCUCCACGAAUAAGAUUGCUUAUGCUAUGACUGCAUUAGCACACAGGACAUGGCAGUUCUUGAUCUUGCUCAAUGGUGCUUCUACGGAGCAUGAUUAACUACUAUGUUUUUAAUUAUUUAUUUUUGUAGAUAUUUUUUCAAAGGGGCUAGAAAGCAUAAUUAAUCCAUAUUCAGGCAAUGUUUGAAAACUAGUUUGUCUCUGUUAGGAUAUUUAUCCUAUUUUAUCAUCAUUAUAUUAUGUUAAGGGUUAUCCUAUUUAUCAUGAUUAUAUUGUGUCUAGGAUUACUCUAUUUAUCAUGAUUAUAUUGUGUCUAGGGUUACCCUAUUUAUCAUGUACUUUUGUAUCAAUUUAUUCUUAUAAAUAGAAGAUUGUGAGAGGGAUCAAUCAAGCCCUCUAGAAUUAUUUUACAAUUUAAUUCUCAACUUAGUAUCAGAGCGGGUUGAUCCCGCUCUGGUUUCUGUCUUGUAAUAUCUGUCCGACGCCACAGUCCGUCGUUGCCUGCCACCGUCCACAGCUGCCCGUCGCCGGCCACCGUCCACCGUCGUCCAUCGCUGUCACAGUUCCGUUCGUCUAAACCCUUAGGGUUUUCUUGUUCCUCGCUGGUACUAUUCGUCUUCUUCAGAAAUGGCGUCUGGCAAUACUCUUUCUUUCUCUGGAAGUCCAUCAAUUACCUCCGAGAAGCUAAAUGGAAAAAAUUAUCUAUCAUGGUCUGCUGCCGUUGAAAUGUGGUUCCUUGGCCAAGGGCAUUAUGACCACCUAGAGCGAGAUGGAAGCCAUGUGCCUACUGAAAAAGUUGAUCAGUGGAAACAAGCAGAUUUCCAGUUGUGUGCCCUGUUAUGACAAUCAGUGGAACCCAAACUUCUUGUAUCUUUGAGGGCUUUCAAAACUUGUCACUCUUUUUGGAAGAAAGCCCAAAGCAUUUAUGCCAACGAUAUUUAACGUCUCUAUGACACUAUGAACAAGCUUGCAUCUCUUAAAAUGGCAGUCCAUGAUAUGGUAUCCUUCAUGGCUGAAGCCCAAUCUACUGUCGAAAAACUCAGGAUGUUUUUGGAAGUGGACCCAUUAGAGGAUAUCAAAAAGAAAUUAGACAAAUUUUACAUGGUGUUGAUCCUUCGUGCCCUACAUCUCGAUUUUGAUCAUCUCAGAGAUCAACUUCUAACUAGUCAUGAGGUCUCCUCUAUGGAAACAUUGACCACUUGCCUUCUGCGUGUCCCGGUACCUCAAACUCAAGAAGCACAUGAACUAGUGGAACCAUCUGUCAUGGUUGCCACACGAGGAAGAGGAGGACAUGGCACUAGAGGAGGAGGACGAGGAGGUCGGGGACGUCCUCAAUGGACAUAUUGUAAAAGGAUGAGUCAUACUCAAGAGAAUUGCUACUCCUUACAUGGUUUCCCUUCCAAAAUCGCCAAUAUUUUGAAGACUGAAACUUCCACUUCGAAGACGGAAACUUCCAUUUCUAUGUUUUUAGAGGAUGAAUAUCAAGAGUAUUUAAGGUUAAAGUCUAACAGCUUGGCACAACCAUCUCAAUCUCCCAGUACAUCAACCGCCCGCGUUUCUCAAUCUAUGGAAGGUCAAAAUUCAUGGGUAAUUGACUCAGGUGCUUCUGAUCACAUUUCUGGUAAUACCUCUUUGUUUUCAUCUAUUUCCUUUCUAGAAAAACCUCAUUUCAUAACCCUUGCAAAUGGAUCUAAAACUUCCUCCAAAGGAGUCGGCCAUGUUUCUUUCUCUUCCUCCCUCAAUCUCAACUCAGUCCUUUUUGUCCCUAAUUGUCCUUUUAAUUUAAUUUUCCUAAGCCAGUUGACUAAAAUGUUAAAUUGUUCAAUAACCUUUGAUCAUAAAUCUUUUGUUAUACAGGAGCGUGGUUGGGGAGACAGAUUGGAGAAGGAUAUGAAGCUGGCGGAUUAUACCAUUUUGGAUCUCGUCCAAGGGUGUCAUGUGUUGUUGCUCCUAAUCCUAAAGUGCUACAUGAUCGACUUGGCCAUCCUCAUUUGUCCAAAUUAAAAAAGAUGUGUCCUGAACUUAGUGGUCUCCAAACCUUAGAAUGUGAGUCAUGUCAAUUAGGAAAACAUGUUAGAUCUUCCUUUCCUAAAAGGUCUCAAUCAAUAUGUAAUUCUAGUUUUUCCAUCAUCCAUUCUGAUAUAUGGGGACCUAGUCGUAUCUCCUCAUUUGGUUUUAGAUAUUUUGUUACUUUUAUUGAUGAAUAUUCAAGAUGUACUUGGGUUUAUCUUAUGAAAAAUCGUUCUGAAUUGUUAGCUAUCUUCACAUCUUUUUUGAAUGAAAUCAAGAAACAAUUUGGUCAAGUAAUCAAAAUAUUAAGAAUUGAUGAUGCAAAAGAGUAUUUCUCAUCCUCCUUUUCUGCCAUCUUGAGUUCCCAUGGUAUCUUACAUCAGUCUACUUGUCCUCAUACACCACAGCAAAAUGGUAUAGCAGGUUGAAACUGCUCGUACCCUUUUGCUUGGUGCCCAUAUUCCUGUCCAUCACUGGGGGAUGCCAUCUUAACUGCAUGUUAUCUUAUUAAUAGGAUGCCCUCCUCCUCUCUUGAUAAUAAAGUCCCUUUCUCCAUUUUGUUUCCUAAUGUUCCUCUCUUUCAUACAUCUCCCCGAGUGUUUGGCUGUGUAUGUUUUGUUCAUAUCAUGUCUCCAGGUCUAGACAAACUCUCCGCUCUCGCUCUCAAAUGUGUUUUCUUAGGUUAUUCUUGACUUCAAAAAGGAUAUCGGUGUUACUCUCCUGAAACUCAGAAGUAUUACAUGUCGGUCAAUGUCACAUUCUUUGAACAGACUCCUUACUUCUCUCCAUCUGUUCAGGAUGUUUCUAUCCUCCAGCAGGUCCUUCCUAUUCCAAUGGCUGAGUCAAAUAGCUCCACUGUAUUUGUCAAUCCAAGUCUUGAUCACAAUCCUCCUACACUCGUUUCUCCACAUACUGAGAUCAUCCCACACAGGGCCCCAAUGGAUAGUCCACCUCCCCAAGACAAUGGUGAAUCUCCUACUUCAGAUUCUUCUCCCUCGUCACCUCUUCCCACGCCUCCUGGUGAAAAUGAUUCAUCAUGGCCUAUUGCCCUCAGAAAAGUGUUCUCUGUUGUUAUACCCAAGAAUGUGAAAGAAGCACUUGAUCAUCCUGGAUGGCGACAAGCUAUGAUUGCAGAAAUGCAGGCUCUUGACCACAGUAAUACUUGGGAGCUGGUGCCCCUUCCCCAGGCAAAAAGGCUGUUGAUUGUCGAUGGAUGUAUGCAGUUAAAGUUGGCCCUGAUGGUGAAAUUGAUCGGCUCAAAGCUCGGCUUGUUGCAAAAGGUUACACUCAGGUUUAUGGUCUUGAUUAUUGUGACACUUUUUCUCUUGUAGUCAAGAUGACUACUAUUCGCCUCUUCUUUGCCAUGACAGCCAUUCGUCACUGGCCACUUCAUCAAUUGGAUAUCAAGAAUGCCUUCUUACAUGAUGAUCUUGAGGAAAAAGUUUAUAUGGAGCAACCUCCUGGGUUUGUUGCUCAGGGAGAGUUUGGUAUGGUAUGCAAAUUGCAUCGAUCUUUAUAUGGCCUCAAGCAAUCACCACGUGCUUGGUUUGGAAAGUUUAGCUCCAUUGUUCAAAAAUUUGGGCUAAAACGCAAUGAAGGAGACCAUUCAGUUUUUUACUGUCAUUCUUCUCUCGGGAAAUGUGUUUACUUAAUAGUAUAUGUUGAUGAUAUUGUCAUUACAGGAAAUGAUGCUGUUGGAAUAUCUCAACUAAAAGAGUACUUGUGUAAACAUUUUCAAACCAAGGAUCUUGGAAGUCUCAAAUACUUCUUAGGCAUUGAAGUAGCGUAAUCAAGAGAUGGAGUUGUAAUCUCCCAGAGGAAGUAUGCUCUUGAUAUAUUACAAGAAACAUGCAUGAUUGAUUGUAGACCGGUAGACAGUCCCAUGGACCCAAACCAGUUAAGGACAGAAGAAGGUGAAUUAUUCUCCGAUCCAGAGAGGUAUAGGAGGCUGAUUGGAAAACUGAUUUAUCUCACUAUUACAAGGCCAGAUCUAUCCUUUGUAGUUUGAGUGGUUAGUCAGUUCAUGCAGGCUCCAUGUGUUGACCAUUAGAAUGCUCUCAUUUGAAUGAAGGCUCCGGGGCAAUGAUUGUUAUAUGAAGAUAAAAGAAACAUUCAGGUCUCUGGGUAUUGUGAUGCAGAUUGGGCAGGUUCACCUAUUGAUAGACGGUCUACUACAGGAUAUUGUGUUUUUCUGGGAGGAAACAUUAUUUCAUGGAAAAGUAAGAAACAGAAUGUAGUAGCUAGAUCAACCGCGGAAACCGAGUAUAGGACAAUGGCAUCACUAACAUGUGAACUUAUAUGGGUGAAACAAUUCUUUCAAGAGGUUAAAUUUUGUGACAUCCAUACUAUGAAGAUGUAUUGCGACAAUCAAGCUGCUCUCCACAUUGCAUCAAAUCCAGUGUUUCACGAGAGGACUAAACAUAUAGAAAUUGAUUUUCAUUUUGUUCGUAAAAAGUUGUUGACUAAAGAAAUAUGUACUGAGUUUAUUGGGACAAACGAUCAACUCGCAGAUGUAUUGACCAAAUAAUUAAGGGAUCCUCGGAUUGAGUUUAUUUGUUCCAAGCUUGGUACAUACAAUUUGUAUGCUCCAACUUGAGGGGGAGUGUUAGGAUAUUUAUCCUAUUUUAUCAUGAUUAUAUUGUGUCUAAGAUUACCCUAUUUAUCAUGAUUAUAUUGUGUCUAAGAUUACCCUAUUUAUCAUGAUUAUAUUGUGUCUAGGGUUACCCUAUUUAUCAUGUAUUUUUGUAGCAAUUUAUUCUUAUAAAUAGAAGAUUGUGAGAGGGAUCAAUCAAGUCCUCUAAAAUUAUUUUACAGUUUAAUUCUCAAGUGUCUCAUUUCAUUUUUUUAUAUCUGAUUCCAUUAUGAUGAGUUUAGCCAUGUUAAAUGUAUUGUGCCAUGAGAUUUUUCAUACCAAUGUCCUAUCUAUUGUGGAUUUUAUAAGUCAAACUAAUUGUAUUGUUUAAGCUGGACUUGAUACCUUUGGAUAAAUUAUGGCAAGUAUUUAAAAUUUAGGUUACACAUAGUCUAUUAAUUAUAUUCAUUCAGGAAUGGUGUUAGAUAGGACCCCAUAAAUUAAAUUUAGAUCCUUUACAUUUAUUAUAUUGGGUUUUCAUGUGGUUUACACGUUUACUGGCUGGUGUUUUUAUGCGGUCUGUUUUUUCCCU